GUCAAACUCGUCUCCUUCCAAAUCCCAAUUCGAUAACUUCUCUCCCCCCAAAUCGAUCACCACUCCUCCCAAAUCGAUCUCCUCUUCUAUCCAUAAUUUCAAUGCCUUACUAUGAGGUUAGGUAUGGUUAUUGCUCGGACAACUAGAAUGUGGAGCUUGUGGUUAGGUAUGAUCUGAUUUUCUUAUUUUUUCUCGGUUGUGCUCCAAUUUGAUUUUCUUAAUUUAUUCAUCGUCAAUACUUGAUAGAAGCUCUCUCUUCUCAUAUUAUUUUUUUGUUAUCGUUUUGUGGUUAAGGUUUGCUAAGUUUUUUGCUGAGGAUUUGGUAGAGUUUCCUGUAAAGUGUAGACAAAGUCUUUUUUUGGAGGUCUGUUCUUGCCAAGG
rnacentral:lncRNA from 1 species